CCGGCACGGGUGAGUAACACGUAUCCAACCUACCGAUAACUCUGGAAUAGCCUUCUGAAAGGAAGAUUAAUACAAGAUGGCAUCAUGAGUCCACAUGUUCACAUGAUUAAAGGUAUUCCGGUAGACGAUGGGGAUGCGUUCCAUUAGAUAGUAGGCGGGGUAACGGCCCACCUAGUCUUCGAUGGAUAGGGGUUCUGAGAGGAAGGUCCCCCACAUUGGAACUGAGACACGGUCCAA
rnacentral:rRNA from 1 species